UACGUAGGGUGCAAGCGUUAUUCGGAAUUAUUGGGCGUAAAGGGCGCGUAGGCGGCUUUGCAAGUGACGGGUGAAAUCCCUCGGCUUAACCGAGGAACUGCCUGUCAAACUGCAUGGCUUGAGACCGGGAGAGGUGAGUGGAAUUCCCAGUGUAGCGGUGAAAUGCGUAGAGAUGCGGAGGAAUACCAGUGGCGAAGGCGACUUCCUGGCCCUCAACUGACGCUGAAGCGCGAAAGCAUGGGGAGCGAACGGG
rnacentral:rRNA from 1 species